rnacentral:rRNA from 1 species
AUACGAAGGGGGCUAGCGUUGUUCGGAAUUACUGGGCGUAAAGCGCGCGUAGGCGGACUGAUCAGUUGGGGGUGAAAUCACAGGGCUUAACCCUGGAACUGCCUCCAAUACUGUCAGUCUUGAGUUCGGGAGAGGUGAGUGGAAUUCCUAGUGUAGAGGUGAAAUUCGUAGAUAUUAGGAAGAACACCAGUGGCGAAGGCGGCUCACUGGCCCGAUACUGACGCUGAGGCGCGAAAGCGUGGGGAGCAAACAGGAUUAGAUACCCUAGUAGUCC